AUGUUGUUAUUAGAGACAUAUUUUGCUCAAGAUUUUUGCACAUACGUUGUUAUGACUGGCAAUGUGUACAGUCGGAGGUCUAAAAGGCCGACUGGCCAGCCCAUUGUAAGGGACGGCGCAGA